CAGGGGCGUGUAUGCGGAGUCUGUACAUAAAUCAUUCCUUUUUCUUUUUCAGUAAAUAGUUAGGAAGGUUAGUGUCAGAGAAAGAGAGAGAAAGAAUAAAGAGCAAAGGGGAACAACUGUUUAUAGCUGCUACAACAUUUAAAGCCGUGACCUGGAGAGCCAAUUGUGUCAUCUUGUGCCAUGGAGAGAUGGGAGCUGAAUUGCGCUACCGACGAAUGAUGCAGAAGAGGAAUUCCCGCUGGACCCACACAACGCCUAGUCAGUGAGGGAUGGUGCCUCGGCCAUACGGCAGGAAGACCCUGACCCCUAUGAGCCAAUGGUGAUGGAGGCAGAGCCAGCCGCUUGAUGGGACCUGAGGUAUUGGAGCACGGUAAAAACGCUCUGCUCCUUCUGCUUCAGCCACUCCUCACCUCCUUUCCUGGGCACCAAAACACCAUUCCCCUUCUACACUAUUCCUCUUUACCCUCACUUCUGGUCCCAAUAAAAACACUCUUAACCUCGA